UACGGGGGGGGCAAGCGUUGUUCGGAAUUACUGGGCGUAAAGGGCGUGUAGGUGGCCAACUAAGUCCGACGUGAAAUCCCCAGGCUUAACCUGGGAACUGCGUCGGAUACUGGAUGGCUUGAAUUCGGGAGAGGAAUGCAGAAUUCCAGGUGUAGCGGUGAAAUGCGCAGAUAUCAGGAGGAACACCGGUGGCGAAGGCAGGUCUCUGGGCCGAUACUGACGCUGAGGAGCGAAAGCCAGGGGAGCGAACGGG
rnacentral:rRNA from 1 species